AUUGAACGCUGGCGGCAUGCCUUACACAUGCAAGUCGAACGGUAACGGGCCUUCGGGUGCCGACGAGUGGCGAACGGGUGAGUAAUACAUCGGAACGUGCCCGAUCGUGGGGGAUAACGAGGCGAAAGCUUUGCUAAUACCGCAUACGAUCUACGGAUGAAAGCAGGGGACCGCAAGGCCUUGCGCGGACGGAGCGGCCGAUGGCAGAUUAGGUAGUUGGUGGGAUAAAAGCUUACCAAGCCGACGAUCUGUAGCUGGUCUGAGAGGAUGAUCAUCCACACUGGAACUGAGACACGGCCCAGACUCCUACGGGAGGCAGCAGUGGGGAAUUUUGGACAAUGGGCGCAAGCCUGAUCCAGCCAUGCCGCGUGCAGGAUGAAGGCCUUCGGGUUGUAAACUGCUUUUGUACGGAACGAAAAGCCUUCUUUUAAUACAGGAGGGUCAUGACGGUACCGUAAGAAUAAGCACCGGCUAACUACGUG
rnacentral:rRNA from 1 species